GGUAUAUUUCCUGUGAGCGCCAGAGAUUGGCACUGGGUGGGGCUGGCACUGCUCCUCCUCCAGCUGGAGUGUUCCCUGCGGUGCCUCUUUGCGUGGGCCAAUAAGGUACCUUAGCAGGUGAUCACUGCCCAACACACGGCUCUCUACACUACCCUCGACCAUGCCCUUGCUGCUCCUGUGACUGGAGGAAGAGCAGGAGGCGCAGAAGGAGGAGGAGAGGUGCAAAUUGAAGAAAGAAGAGAAGACCUUGCUGCUCCUGUGACAGGAGGAAGAGCAGGAGGCGCAGAAGGAGGAGGAGAGGUGCAAAUUGAAGAAAGAAAAGAAAGUGGAAUGACUGAAGGAACAAGAAAAGACAAUGCUGAUGAAACAGAAGAGGCAGAAAUAAAGGACGAUAAACACAAAAAGAAGAUGGCGUUUGAGAGUUCCAAUAAGGGUAUGGAAAGUAUAAAACAUCCUAUUCUUCCUCAUCCACCUCUCCUCUCAUCCAUUCGCCUAUCGCAGGAGACAGAAAAUGCAUUACAGGUUCUUAGAAGGUGGAUAAGUGGAUACAGGAGUCACUACCACCCUACUUCUCUCCUCCACGAGGCCCUCCUCUCUUCCACCUCCCUCCUGGGCGGGUGGAAGGAGUGGAAGAGAGUGGAGAGAAGCGAGAUGGAUUAUGUGGAGUAGGAGAAACAGGUGGAGGUGUUGGUGGAAGAGAUGGAUAGACUGUGUGAGAGAGCGGAAGAGGUGAAAGGCAAGAGUGAUGUGGAAGUGGGAGAUAGGAAGGGGAAUAAAGAAAGAACUGAUAAAUAGGUGAAUAGUGACAAUGGAGUAGAAAAGAAGGGAAAUGAAGGAAGUGAAAGGACAGAAAACGAUGAAGAUAAACCCAAAAUAAGAGAAAAUCUAUAUUACCCACCUCUUUCACGCACGCACACCACCCUCCCAUUAACAAAAACCACGGAAUUCAUAGCAAAAAUCCAUAAUAUAACCUUCCAAGUCCUUCACCGACACCAAAUCUGAGCUGGAAGUGGUCUCAGUAUUGAGAAGAAUGACCACUAACAUCAACGCCAGCCUCAGGAACACACAGGAUAGUCUCUCCUUCAAACACACGCAGUUUAGAGAAAAGAAAAAAAUGAGGUCUAGACGAAGGGAGACUUAAAAAAAAGACAACUCAACGCGGUGCCUGUGGUGGUGUGGACUUGCUAUCCCUUACUCCAGGCUGUUUAUAUGGUUCUUCUGUCUCUCCAAGAUGUUCCAGAGAUGGAGAGGGAUAGUUUUUCCAGUCUCAUGCGGGUCCUGAAGGGGGUACUCAAAGCUAUGGAGAAUUUAGCGUCACAAACAGAUCCUUAGAUGAAUCGUUGGGACGAGGCUGUUUGUAUAUCAAGGGAGAAUGUUGCCUUUGUCUUGAAGCAUUUUGGGUGAGGUGCUUCUGUCCCCGGCUCUGUUAUAUGAUUCUUUAAGCUUGUUUUACUUUCU